AACGUAGGAGACAAACGUUAUCCGGAGUUACUGGGCGUAAAGGGCGUGUAGGUGGUUGCGUAAGUCUGGCGUGAAAUUUUUCGGCUUAACCGGGAAAGGUCGUCGGAUACUGCGUAGCUAGAGGACGGUAGAGGCGUGUGGAAUUCCGGGUGUAGUGGUGAAAUGCGUAGAGAUCCGGAGGAACACCAGUGGCGAAGGCGACACGCUGGGCCGUACCUGACGCUGAGGAGCGAAAGCGUGGGGAGCGAACAGG
rnacentral:rRNA from 1 species